rnacentral:lncRNA from 1 species
GCCUCCGCUGCUGCUGCUGCUGCGGCAGCUGCUUCUGCUGUGGCCUCCUCCAACGCUACUGUUAAUGCUGUGGUGGCUGCUGCUGUCACUGCUGCUUUCGCAGCGGUUACUGCUACUGCUGACAUCAAAGGCAGUGAACCAACUCCUCAAAGGCACAGUGGGGCUACUAAUGACAAGGAUUUCGCACUUAAGGCAAAAGAAGAACAUGAUAAGCCAAGAAGCAAAUCAACGGUGUGGAAGGCCUGGAAG